CUCUGUAUGUAGGAGAGUACCAAUCAGGUACUCUCCUACAUACAGAGUUUCCUAGGACAAACCACAGAGAAAAAACUGUUUGAAUGUAUUCAAUGAAAACAUUUUGCUUCUUAAAGAGAUCCAGCUUUCUUAUGGAAAACAGCCCAGGAUUUUUAGAGAAAAUAUUGAAGGUUGGAGCAACAUUCUUCCUUUCCUUUAUCAGUGUUGUUUUGCCAUAAGAGAAUCUCACUGGCUGUCAUUUUCAUGAAGAAUGAAGGGAAGUUCUUGUUAUAUGCCUCCAUUAUUCUGUGGGCAGUUUUUCAUGUUUUCCCUCCUUUGUAACAGUAGGGCUAGUACUUUUCUUAUAAGUGUUUUGUUUCGUAAAGACUUUGGGACAAAUUUUUUAAAGCAUAUAAAAUAAAUGAGGACUAAAGGGAAAAAUACAGAAAGGAAGGCAGUUAUAGAAAAUGUGUGCCUGCAGAAUAAUAAUUGGGCUAUGGGCUUCCUAGUAACUAUAACAAAGAGGGAACUUUAUUUGAUUACAUGAUUUAAAAAGAUGAAAUUUCUUAGGAGGAGCUCAAUUGUCCUUGGCACUGAAAACAGAAGUAAGUUUUCUCAAUUACUCAUGAAAACAAUGUUUGGAGCUCUGUUAAUCAAUUUCUUCAGUUACCCCACAGUGCCUGGCCCUGGAUUGUAGAGGAUUGCUUUCAAUGACAUCCCUCAUUGUUGACAUUUUCCAAGUCUGAUUCUGUAAAGCAAAGUAAGAACCCCCCAGAUCCUUUUAUGCUAUUUAUGCUAUUCAGUUUCAGCGGAACUUUUGUGAAAUAUUCAGCAGCACAGAGUUAGAGGUCAUCUCUCAUGAGCACCUAGAACACAGCUCUUCAUAGCAGAUGAGAGUGUGAAACCACAGACUUGAAAGAGUUCAUGGGUGGAGGUGACAUUCCCUUAUCAAUGCAAAAAGGGAACCCAGAGGUUUGGAAACUGGAAGAGAAGGCCACCCACCUCUGCAUGUAGGAUGAGUACAUCAAAGAAGAUGCAGAGCAUUUGAGAGAGGAGAAGAAAAAAUGAAUGAUAAUUUUAUUACCUUCAUUGCUAUUCACACUUUUGCAUAUUUCCUUCUUUUUUUAUUUAAAUCUCCUCAUGGGCAAUGUUAACACAAUCAAGAUGUGCAUACAAAUUCAUAUCAUUUUUCACUUAACUAAGCAGCAUAAAAUAAGUUAUUACACUUUAUAUUCCUGGAAUGUACAGGGUGCUGUGAUACAUUAUCACCAUGGUUUCAGAUCUUCCAUAAAGUGUAUUAUACAUGACAUGCCACAAGGAAGUGAGGCUUUAAGAAAAGAGGCUGUUUAAACAGAUUGGGGAUCAGUAAAGGGAGGAGAGGGAUCUUGGGAGGUGAGACCCCAGUGUGGGGAGGAUCCAGCUGAAACAGAAACAGAAGGAGAAAUGACUGUGUUAUGUAAGCCCCUAGAGAGUUUGGGAAACUUUUGUCUCUCCCCUGAAUGCAAGAAUGGGGACUCAAUUUUAUGCUAUCACAAGAUGGAACAAGUGCACCUCCGGAGAUCCUUUUAAAACCAUCAGCAUGUAUAAGACUUGCCUUUCAUAAAAAGAAGUAAAAAUAGGAUGUUUGAUGGGUCAUAAUAAUAGGUUUUGAUGCUAUUUGAUCAAGUUUUUUUUCUCUUUUAAAAGCAUCUUUUCCAGAAGUCACCUUUUUCCAAGGUUAAGAACUUCUUUUUUCUUUUUCUUUACUAAGGAGGGGGACAAAUGUAAUCCAUUAUUAAAGAGGGAAACACUGGUAUUUACAUUUACACUAGCUUCCCCCGAUACAAAUACUUUUUAAUAAUCUGUUCACUUUGUAACAUUUUAUGUUUCUCCCUCCCAGAAAUUUUGUGUUUCAGGUGCUUAAAUACAACCAGAUAUUCACUGAAGGCAUGUCUUAAAUGACCUCUAGAUUAAGAUGCUGCCAUCAAAUUCCACCUUCUCCAAGGACUGAAAUGGGGCUACAAGUGGAUAAACUUUCUUCUUCUUAUCACAUGUGACCUACAGAAAUCAGUGCCACUAUAUAUGAUUGCUUUUGCUUUGUUCUCUGACACCUUUAAAAAAUAGGAGAGAAACUGCUAACGAACUAUUUCUUUUGAAGAAAUUCAGCCAUAUGUGACUUUAACCACCUAAAAUCCUACCUUCCCUAUAAAUGGUGGAAGUAUCUGAAAAGACACAAUGAAAUUAGAAACUUUGAAUUGAUGUAAUGAAACAGCUGGGAUUAAUGAGAGGAUAGAUUCUGCCUGCAGUUGAGAAGCUGCUUCCAUUACCUAGUAUUCACUUAAUGAAAGGAAAGAAUACGUGUUUGGAAUUUUUUCUUCUGACACUGCAGAUUUUAUAAGUUACUUAGUCUUACUACUAAAUAUUCAAGUCUUAUAAAUAAAAACCUUUCUUCUAUUGAAA